rnacentral:rRNA from 1 species
UACAGAGGGGGCAAGCGUUGUUCGGAAUUACUGGGCGUAAAGGGCGCGUAGGCGGCCUACUAAGUCAUACGUGAAAUCCCACGGCUCAACCGUGGAACUGCGUCUGAGACUGGAAGGCUUGAAUUCGGGAGAGGGAUGCGGAAUUCCAGGUGUAGCGGUGAAAUGCGUAGAUAUCUGGAGGAACACCGGUGGCGAAGGCGGCAUCCUGGACCGACAUUGACGCUGAGGCGCGAAAGCCAGGGGAGCAAACGGGAUUAGAUACCCCGGUAGUCCUGGCCCUAAACGAUGAAUGCUUGGUGUGGCGGGUAUCGAUCCCUGCCGUGCCGAAGCUAACGCAUUAAGCAUUCCGCCUGGGGAGUACGGUCGCAAGGCUGAA